UUCGUAGGCGGUGUGGCAAGUUGGGAGUGAAAUCUCUGGGCUUAACCCAGAGGCUGCUUCCAAAACUGCUGUGCUUGAGUAUGGGAGAGGCGCGUGGAAUUGCAGGUGUAGCGGUGAAAUGCGUAGAUAUCUGCAGGAACACCCGUGGCGAAAGCGGCGCGCUGGACCAUAACUGACGCUGAGGAACGAAAGCUAGGGAAGCAAACAGGAUUAGAUACCCUGGUAGUCCUAGCCCUAAACGAUCAGGACUUGGGGUGUCGCCCGUUCGGGCGUCGUCCCGGAGCUAACGCGUUAAGUCCUGCACCUGGGGAGUACGGUCGCAAGACUGAA
rnacentral:rRNA from 1 species